rnacentral:rRNA from 1 species
GAUGAACGCUGGCGGCGUGCCUAAUACAUGCAAGUCGAGCGACCAGAUAAGGAGCUUGCUCCUUUGACGUUAGCGGCGGACGGGUGAGUAACACGUGGGUAACCUACCUAUAAGACUGGGAUAACUCCGGGAAACCGGGGCUAAUGCCGGAUAACAUUUAGAACCGCAUGGUUCUAAAGUGAAAGAUGGUUUUGCUAUCACUUAUAGAUGGACCCGCGCCGUAUUAGCUAGUUGGUAAGGUAACGGCUUACCAAGGCAACGAUACGUAGCCGACCUGAGAGGGUGAUCGGCCACACUGGAACUGAGACACGGUCCAGACUCCUACGGGAGGCAGCAGUAGGGAAUCUUCCGCAAUGGGCGAAAGCCUGACGGAGCAACGCCGCGUGAGUGAUGAAGGUCUUCGGAUCGUAAAACUCUGUUAUUAGGGAAGAACAAAUGUGUAAGUAACUGUGCACGUCUUGACGGUACCUAAUCAGAAAGCCACGGCUAACUACGUG